rnacentral:lncRNA from 1 species
AAAAUUAGAAAAAAACACCGAAAAGCAUCAAGAUUAAGUAGGGAAGAAGAUCAGCAAAUUGAAGGAAGGACGUUUCAGAAGAGGGGGGAUGAGAGAUGAAUUAGGUGGUACAGAGAGAGCGACGUGAGCGAGAAGUCUCAGUUCGAACCCUUCCGCCUGCUUACACUUUGGGAAAAAAGAAAGAAAGAAAAGGAGUAAGGGCCUUUCAAAACUGGACUCCGCACUCUACGUCGAAGGCGGAAGUACUCUAACAGAUAGGAAACGACACAAGUACACACAACCAACCGAGUGCGCGAAACAUUCAGUGUCCAUCUCCGAGCGCCGUCGUUUCAUAGGGGGAUAAUGGAAGACGGACAAACGCGAAAAUGGAAGCGAUACGGAAGAGACACGACUUACUCACCUAUAAACAAUCUGGAUGACGGCUGUCUGAUGCAUAUCUUCAGCUUUCUUUCCCCUAAACCUGGUAUAUGUACCCACAAUUUCAAUAAAUCAUGUUUCUUUGCUGGAUAGGAAGCCCUAUUCUUAUCUGAUUAGCUGAAUUUGUAGCUUUACUCAAUUUAGCUAAUAUGUUGAAACCCAUGUCUAAAUUUUGAUUCUAUUUCACUUUAUUCUGCAGUAUAUUUGCUUAAUUGUUUGAUUUCUACUCUUUUUUUAACGCAUUAAGUUAUAAAGUUUCAAUUUUUAAUUGAGAA